AUACAUUGCAGUAACUGACGACAAAUUGUGGAACUAACCACAGGGGAGCUGCUUUGUACAUAGCCGGUCGUCUGGGCGAAGAAU
rnacentral:ncRNA from 2 species